rnacentral:tRNA from 1 species
UACCCGGUGGUGUAAUUGGCAACACCUGGGCUUUUGGUGCCCAUAUUCCAGGUUCGAGUCCUGGCCGGGUAG